GCUUGUCUCAAAGAUUAAGCCAUGCAUGUCUAAGUAUAAAUAUCUAUACUGUGAAACUGCGUAUGGCUCAUUAAAUCAGUUAUAGUUUAUUUGAUGAUACCCCACUACAUGGAUAACCGUAGUAAUUCUAGAGCUAAUACAUGCGUCAAAUCCCGACUUUUUGGAAGGGAUGUAUUUAUUAGAUAAAAAACCAACACCUUUACCGGUGAAUCAUAAUAACUUUUCGAAUCGCCGCUUCGGCAGCGAUAGAUCUUGCAAAUUUCUGCCCUAUCAGCUUUCGACGGUAGUGUAGUGGACUACCGUGGCGUUAACGGGUGACGGGGAAUUAGGGUUCGGUUCCGGAGAGGGAGCCUGAGAAAUGGCUACCACAUCCAAGGAAGGCAGCAGG
rnacentral:rRNA from 1 species